UACGAAGGGGGCUAGCGUUGUUCGGAAUUACUGGGCGUAAAGCGCACGUAGGCGGACUAUUAAGUCAGGGGUGAAAUCCCGGGGCUCAACCCCGGAACUGCCUUUGAUACUGGUAGUCUCGAGUCCGGAAGAGGUGAGUGGAGUUCCGAGUGUAGAGGUGAAAUUCGUAGAUAUUCGGAGGAACACCAGUGGCGAAGGCGGCUCACUGGUCCGGUACUGACGCUGAGGUGCGAAAGCGUGGGGAGCAAACAGG
rnacentral:rRNA from 1 species